AUAACCAAGGUGGGAUUAGCUAGUUGGUGAGGUAAGGGCUCACCAAGGCGACGAUCCCUAGCUGGUCUGAGAGGAUGAUCAGCCACACUGGAACUGAGACACGGUCCAGACUCCUACGGGAGGCAGCAGUGGGGAAUAUUGCACAAUGGGCGCAAGCCUGAUGCAGCCAUGCCGCGUGUGUGAAGAAGGCCUUCGGGUUGUAAAGCACUUUCAGUCGUGAGGAAGGUAGUGUAGUUAAUAGCUGCAUUAUUUGACGUUAGCGACAGAAGAAGCACCGGCUAACUCCGUGCCAGCAGCCGCGGUAAUACGGAGGGUGCGAGCGUUAAUCGGAAUUACUGGGCGUAAAGCGCAUGCAGGUGGUUUGUUAAGUCAGAUGUGAAAGCCCGGGGCUCAACCUCGGAAUUGCAUUUGAAACUGGCAGACUAGAGUACUGUAGAGGGGGGUAGAAUUUCAGGUGUAGCGGUGAAAUGCGUAGAGAUCUGAAGGAAUACCGGUGGCGAAGGCGGCCCCCUGGACAGAUACUGACACUCAGAUGCGAAAGCGUGGGGAGCAAACAGGAUUAGAUACCCUGGUAGUCCACGCCGUAAACGAUGUCUACUUGGAGGUUGUGGCCUUGAGCCGUGGCUUUCGGAGCUAACGCGUUAAGUAGACCGCCUGGGGAGUACGGUCGCAAGAUUAAAACUCAAAUGAAUUGACGGGGGCCCGCACAAGCGGUGGAGCAUGUGGUUUAAUUCGAUGCAACGCGAAGAACCUUACCUACUCUUGACAUCCAGAGAACUUUCCAGAGAUGGAUUGGUGCCUUCGGGAA
rnacentral:rRNA from 1 species